CUCGCGUCUCGGCUUCCGAGCCAGCUGCAGGAUGGUGCUGAACUUGCUGCGGGACACCGAGGUCUCCCUGCCCUUCACCCCGGAGCUGCCCCGCACCCCGGUCACCGACCUCGCUCGGGGCCUUAGGAACCUCAGCGCCUUGGCUGGGGAUACACCAAAGUGCUGUCUAGAUCUGUCUGAUCUCAGCAGUGGUGAGGAGAUGCCUGCCUUCAAUUUCACCCAUUCCCCAGACAUGGCUGGUAAGAGCUGACCGGCUGGGACAAAAUUCUGAGCCUUAGCUCUAGUUUUAUUGCUUGCUAUUAUGCUGGUGGCAAGACCCAAAAGAACAUUUUGGUUACAACUAGUACUGUCAGCCAGUUCAGCCCCUUCCCAUUAUUUUAUUUUAUUAUUUAUUUUGUAUUGCAAGAAUGCCUACCUAGGGGUCCCAAUCAAGGACCAGUACCUCAUUUUGCUAUGUGCUGUUAAAUAAGUAAUAGAGUUCCUGAGAACUCUCUCAUUCUGGGAUUAUGAAAAGAUUCAGCAGGUGGAUUAAACAGAUAGAUGGGUUGUGGUUAGGUGAAGACAAGUAAAACAAGCACGUUUUGCAUAGUAUAGGCAGUAGCUGCAACUCACUUGACUAGCCAUUUCCAACCGUCAGUGCUUGUAAUUGUUAAUAAUGGUGCCAAGACUCUCAGAAUCCUCAACUCCAGCUGUACACCCCUUCAAUAUGAGACAGUCCAAAAUGAGCCCAGCUUCCACAAGGCUGAGGCUUCACAGCCUAGCCAGGUGGAAAGGACUCUGCCAUCCUUAUAGUGAAAAGAUUGGCUGUUGUAGCUAUUCUCUUAGAAUGCUCCCUUGAACUGUUCUCUAGCUGUGCUGUUGCCAAAGCAUGGAAAGCAUUGGCACAUGGGAUAAUUUGUUUUUACAGUUUACAUAAACCUAGGGAUGCUGUUGCAACACAUCAGCAAUAUUAGUGGAGCACAUCCCCUGUCUCACUCUGCCUUAAAAGUGAAGGUUACAAAUGUAGUCUUCCUUGAAC
rnacentral:lncRNA from 1 species